GUAGGUGGCAAGCGUUGUCCGGAAUUAUUGGGCGUAAAGCGCGCGCAGGCGGUUCUUUAAGUCUGAUGUGAAAGCCCACGGCUCAACCGUGGAGGGUCAUUGGUAACUGGAGAACUUGAGUACAGAAGAGGAAAGCGGAAUUCCACGUGUAGCGGUGAAGUGCGUAGAGAUGUGGAGGAACACCAGUGGCGAAGGCGGCUUUCUGGUCUGUAACUGACGCUGUGGCGCGAAAGCGUGGGGAGCAAACAGGGAUUAGAUACCCUGGUAGUCCACGCCGUAAACGAUGAGUGCUAAGUGUUAGGGGGGUUUCCGCCCCCUUAGUGCUGCAGCUAACGCAUUAAGCACUCCGCCUGGGGAGUACGGCCGCAAGGCUG
rnacentral:rRNA from 1 species